GACGAACGCUGGCGGCGCGCUUAACACAUGCAAGUCGAACGGAAAGGCCUGCUUUCCCUUGUGGAUUGCGGGUACUCGAGUGGCGAACGGGUGAGUAACACGUGAGUGAUCUGCCCCCAACUUGGGUAUAAGCCUGGGAAACUGGGUCUAAUUCCCGAUAGGACUGCAGGGUGGUGCCUGUGGUGGAAAACGAUUUUCUAGUGGUUGGGGAUGAGCUCGCGGCCUAUCAGCUUGUUGGUGGGGUAAUGGCCUACCAAGGCGGCGACGGGUGGCCGGCCUGAGAGGGUGGACGGCCACAUUGGGACUGAGAUACGGCCCAGACUCCUACGGGAGGCAGCAGGGGGGAAUAUUGCACAAUGGGCGGAAGCCUGAUGCAGCGACGCCGCGUGGGGGAUGACGGCCUUCGGGUGGUAAACUCCUUUCGACCGCGAGGAAGCCACCUGGUUGGAAGGGUGGUGACGGUAGUGGUAGAAGAAGCACCGGCUAACUACGUG
rnacentral:rRNA from 1 species